CAAUAGCGUAUAUUUAAGUUGUUGCAGUUAAAAAGCUCGUAGUCGGAUUUUGGCUGAGAACGAUCAGUCCGCCGUUAGGUGUGCACUGAUUGGUCUCAGCUUCCUGGUGAGGAGGUGUGCUUCACGGCCACUUAGUCACCGUGGUUACUUUGAAAAAAUUAGAGUGUUCAAAGCGGGCUUACGCUUGAAUAUAUUAGCAUGGAAUAACACCAUAGGACUCCUGUCCUAUUUCGUUGGUCUCGGGACGGGAGUAAUGAUUAAGAGGAACAGUUGGGGGCAUUCGUAUUUCAUUGUCAGAGGUGAAAUUCUUGGAUUUAUGAAAGACGAACUUCUGCGAAAGCAUUUGCCAAGGAUGUUUUCAUUAA
rnacentral:rRNA from 1 species